GACGAACGCUGGCGGCGUGCCUAAUACAUGCAAGUAGGACGCAGUUGCGAACGGGGGAGUAACGCGUGGGUAACUACCUAUAUGAGGGGUAUAACUAUUGGAAACUAUAGCUUAUACCGCAUACUAGUAGAUGGACCUGCGUUGUAUUAGCUAGUAGGUAGGGUAAUGGCCUACCUAGGCAACGAUACAUAGCCGACCUGAGAAGGUGAACGGGCACACUGGGACUGGGACAAGGCCCAAACUCCUUCGGGGGGCAGGAGUAGGGAAUCUUCGGAAAUUGGGGGAACCCUGACCGAGCAAAGCCGCGUGAGUGAAGAAGGGUUUCGGAUCGGAAAGCUCUGUUGUUAAGGAAGCGUUACUUAACCAGAAAGGGACGGCUAACUACGUGCCAGCAGCCGCGGUAAUUC
rnacentral:rRNA from 1 species